GACGAACGCUGGCGGCGUGCUUAACACAUGCAAGUCGAACGAGGUCCAUCCUCACUUCGGUGAGGGGAAGACCUAGUGGCGAACGGGUGAGUAACCCGUGAGAAACCUGCCCCGGAGACCGGGAUAACCGCGGGAAACCGCUGCUAACACCGGAGACCUUCAUAGGAUCGCACGUUCUGAUGAAGAAAUGGAUUCCGUUCCGGAGGGUUCUCGCGGCCUAUCAGCUUGUUGGUGGGGUAAUGGCCUACAAAGGCAUCGACGGGUAGGUGGUCUGAGAGGACGAUCAGCCACACUGGGACUGAGACACGGACCAGACUCCUACGGGAGGCAGCAGUGGGGAAUCUUGCACAAUGGGCGAAAGCCUGAUGCAGCAACGCCGCGUGGGGGAUGACUGCCCUCGGGUUGUAAACCGCUUUCAGGAGGGACGAAGCCACUCGGGUUAAUAGCCUAGAGGGUGACGGUACCUCCAGAAGAAGCCCCGGCUA
rnacentral:rRNA from 1 species